AUUAGUGCCUACGGCCAUACCACCCUGAACAUGCCCGAUCUCAUCUGAUCUCGGAAGCUAAGCAGGGUCGGGCCUGGUUAGUACUUGGAUGGG
rnacentral:rRNA from 11 species